rnacentral:lncRNA from 1 species
AUGUUAAAUCAUUCCAGGCCCAAGCUUAAUCACAGAGCUAUCAAUCCGUUAACGUUAAAUUUGAGAUGCCCCAAAAUUCUUCUUAGAAUUAUCAAAAAUAGGAGAGCCCAUAACUACUUCCAGUAGGCAAAGAAUCAAUGACAUUCUCCUCUACUAGAAAACUAACUCAAGUCUUCUAUAAUAAUACCCUUCAGAUCAAGGUAUUAUCAUUAUUAUUAUUUUUUUUUAAUCGGUUUCAAAAUAACUCAAACCACUACACUUCCGUUGCGCACUCUGACCUAACUCAUCAAAUUCUUUAAAGUCGCAAAAUGAUUUCUGACCAAAGCAUCACUUUGCACCGAGAUUAAGAAAAUCCAAAUUUUAAAUUUUCAAGUAGAACUAGAGCAAAACGUCUAGAUCUUUUUGUCCUCAAUUUAUAUAGAGUAUACUUACCAUAACUAACCCCCAAUCCUUUAGUCAAGUUUAAGGUCACUACGUGAUCUCCACAACCUUUUUAGAAUCCAAAAUAUCUAAGUUUAAUUUAAAGGGGGUAAUUCUUGUAUUCCCUUAGCAAUUUAAUUAGAAAAUCUACAUUGAUUUUUCUUCCAACAGAAUUUACUUCAAAUUCAAUGGGUUAGAACUGUUGAGCCAAUAUCACUAUGAUUAGAAAUUAACUCUAUCGAUCUCCAGAUCUUUCUCCACCAAAAUUCUUAACAUUCAUCAGCAAUGCUAUAUAUGAUAAUUCAUGUAAGCAUCUCAUGAUCGAAGUCUUUACUCAAUAUGACAUUUAUUAGUGGCUUCAUCAACAAUGACAAAAGAUCCCUGCUCAAAUCUUAAACCUAGGCUUGAGUUUUAAAUUAACACAUCAAAUAGUCUUCUAUAAUUAUAAGUAAAAUCCAGUAACCCAAUCCAAACAUGAGAAUUCAAAUAAUUAGAAUUCCUCCGU